AACGCGAAGAACCUUACCAGCUCUUGACAUCCCUGGACGGUACUCAGAGAUGGGUACCUCCCCGCAAGGGGCCAGGAGACAGGUGCUGCAUGGCUGUCGUCAGCUCGUGUCGUGAGAUGUUGGGUUAAGUCCCGCAACGAGCGCAACCCUCAUCUUCAGUUGCCAUCAGGUCAAGCUGGGCACUCUGAAGAAACUGCCGGUGACAAGCCGGAGGAAGGCGGGGAUGACGUCAAGUCCUCAUGGCCUUUAUGGGCUGGGCUACACACGUGCUACAAUGGCGGUGACAAUGGGAUGCGAAGGGGCGACCCUUGGCCAAUCUCAAAAAGCCGUCUCAGUUCGGAUUGUUCUCUGCAACUCGAGAGCAUGAAGCUGGAAUCGCUAGUAAUCGCGGAUCAGCACGCCGCGGUGAAUACGUUCCCGGGCCUUGUA
rnacentral:rRNA from 1 species